rnacentral:rRNA from 1 species
UACAGAGGGGGCAAGCGUUGUUCGGAAUUACUGGGCGUAAAGGGCGCGUAGGCGGCCUGCUAAGUCGAACGUGAAAUCCCUGGGCUCAACCCAGGAACUGCGUCCGAUACUGGUUGGCUUGAAUCCGGGAGAGGGAUGUGGAAUUCCAGGUGUAGCGGUGAAAUGCGUAGAUAUCUGGAGGAACACCGAUGGCGAAGGCAGCCAUCUGGACCGACACUGACGCUGAGGCGCGAAAGCGUGGGGAGCAACAGGG